rnacentral:rRNA from 1 species
GAUGAACGCUGGCGGCGUGCCUAAUACAUGCAAGUCGAGCGAACAGACGAGGAGCUUGCUCCUCUGACGUUAGCGGCGGACGGGUGAGUAACACGUGGAUAACCUACCUAUAAGACUGGGAUAACUUCGGGAAACCGGAGCUAAUACCGGAUAAUAUAUUGAACCGCAUGGUUCAAUAGUGAAAGACGGUUUUGCUGUCACUUAUAGAUGGAUCCGCGCCGCAUUAGCUAGUUGGUAAGGUAACGGCUUACCAAGGCAACGAUGCGUAGCCGACCUGAGAGGGUGAUCGGCCACACUGGAACUGAGACACGGUCCAGACUCCUACGGGAGGCAGCAGUAGGGAAUCUUCCGCAAUGGGCGAAAGCUUGACGGAGCAACGCCGCGUGAGUGAUGAAGGUCUUCGGAUCGUAAAACUCUGUUAUUAGGGAAGAACAAAUGUGUAAGUAACUAUGCACGUCUUGACGGUACCUAAUCAGAAAGCCACGGCUAACUACGUGCCAGCAGCCGCGGUAAUACGUACGUGGCAAGCGU